UCAUAAUAACAGCGCUACCGACACAGACAGAAAGAAGAGGGCACAAACACGUCUUUCUGUCUGUCUGUGUCGGUAGCGCUGUUAUUAUGA
rnacentral:pre_miRNA from 1 species